rnacentral:tRNA from 1 species
GGGCCCGUGGCCUAGCUUGGAUAAGGCGGCGGCCUUCUAUCAAUUUGGGGGUAAGCCGCAAAUCGUGGGUUCAAAUCCCACCGGGCCCG